rnacentral:miRNA from 1 species
UGCUAUUAGUAUUGUUGAUGAUGAUGGUGAUGAUGAUGAUUAUUAUUAUCAUCAUCAUCAUCAGUAAUCUGU